rnacentral:lncRNA from 1 species
UGGGAGAGAGAGAGAGAGAGAGGGAGUAUUGAGGGGGUUGAAGGACUGCUUGUUGGAAGAGAGAGAGAGAGAGAGAGAGGAGUAUUGAGGGGGUUGAAGGACUGUUUGUUGGAAGAGAGAGAGAGAGGAGUGUAUUGAGGGGGUUGAAGGACUGCUUGUUGGAAGAGAGAGAGAGAGAGAGAGAGAGAGAGAGGGGUAUUGAGGGGGUUGAAGGACUGCUUGUUGGAAGAGAGAGAGAGGAAGAGAGAGAGAGAGAGAGAGGGAGUAUUGAGGGGGUUGAAGGACUGCUUGUUGGAAGAGAGAAAGAGAGAGAGAGGAGUAUUGAAGGUGUUUAAGGACUGCUUGUUGAAAGAGAGAGAGAGAGAGAGAGUAGUAUUAAGGGGGUUGAAGGACUGCUUGUUGGAAGAGAGAGAGAGAGAGAGAGAGAGAGAGAGGGAGUAUUGAGGGGGUUGAAGGACUGCUUGUUGGAAGAGAGAGAGAGGAGUAUUGAAGGGGUUGAAGGACUGUUUGUUGGAAGAGAGAGAGAGAGAGAGAGAGGAGUAUUGAGGGGGUUGAAGGACUGUUUGUUGGGAGAGCGAGAGAGAGAGAGAGAGAGAGAGAGAGGAAGGAGUAUUGAGGGGGUUGAAGGACUGUUUGUUUGGAGAGAGAGAGAGAGAGAGAGAGAGAGAGGGAGUAUUGAGGGGGUUGAAGGACUGUUUGUUGGGAGAGAGAGAGAGAGAGGAGUAUUGAGGGCGUUGAAGGACUGCUUGAUGGAAGAGAGAGAGAGAGGAGUGUUGAGGGGGUUGAAGGACUGUUUGUUGGGA